AUACGGAGGGGGCUAGCGUUGUUCGGAAUUACUGGGCGUAAAGCGCGCGUAGGCGGGCUGGUCAGUCAGGGGUGAAAUCCCGGGGCUCAACCCCGGAACUGCCUUUGAUACUGCCAGUCUAGAGGUCGAGAGAGGUGAGUGGAAUUCCGAGUGUAGAGGUGAAAUUCGUAGAUAUUCGGAGGAACACCAGUGGCGAAGGCGGCUCACUGGCUCGAUUCUGACGCUGAGGUGCGAAAGCGUGGGGAGCAAACAGGAUUAGAUACCCCAGUAGUCC
rnacentral:rRNA from 1 species